rnacentral:snRNA from 1 species
GUGCUUGCUUUGGUAGCACAUUUACUAAAAUUGGGAUGAUAUAGAGAAUGCAUAGCCCCUAUGCAAGGAUGACACACAAAUUUCCAGGGGUGGGGGAACCACCC